rnacentral:misc_RNA from 1 species
UCUCCGUAGGUGAACCUGCGGAGGGAUCAUUACAGAGUUCUCGCCCUCGCGGGUAACUAUCCCACCCACUGUUAUCGUUACUGUGUUGCUUUGGUGGGCCACCGGGGCCCUCUCGGCCGCCGGCUCCGGCAGGCGCGCACCCGCCAGAAGCCCAGCAAACUCUGAAUGUUAGUGUCGUCUGAAUACUAUAUAAUAGUUAAAACUUUCAACAACGGAUCUCCUCGUUCUGGCAUCGAUGAAGAACGCAUCAGAUCGGAAAAGCAAACGUCUGAACUCCAA